GACGAACGCUGGCGGCGUGCUUAACACAUGCAAGUCGAACGGAAAGGCCCUGCUUUUGUGGGGUGCUCGAGUGGCGAACGGGUGAGUAACACGUGAGUAACAUGUCCUUGACUUUGGGAUAAAUUCAGGAAACUGGGGCUAAUACCGGAUAGGAGCUCCUGCUGCAUGGUGUGGGUUGGAGAGUUUCGGCGGUUGGGGAUGGACUCGCGGCUUAUCAGCUUGUUGGUGGGGUAGUGGCUGACCAAGGCUUUGACGGGUAGCCGGCCUGAGAGGGUGACCGGCCACAAUGGUACUGAGAUACGGCCCAGACGCGUACGGGAGGCAGCAGUGGGGAAUAUUGCACAAUGGGCGGAAGCCUGAUGCAGCAACGCCGCGUGCGGGAUGACGGCCUACGGGUUGUAAACCGCUUUCGCCUGUGACGAAGCGUGAGUGACGGUAAUGGGUAAAGAAGCACCGGCUAACUACGUG
rnacentral:rRNA from 1 species